rnacentral:rRNA from 1 species
UCAGGGAGAAGUCUCUUCGGGGAUGAUUAAACCGGCGCACGGGUGAGUAACACGUGAGUGACCUGCCUUUUAGACUGGAACAACUUACCGAAAGGUGAGCUAAUGCCGGAUGAGUUAUAUAAGUGCAUGUUUAUAUAGGAAAAGUUGGGGAGACCUGACGCUGAAAGAUGGACUCGCGUCCCAUUAGCUAGUUGGUAGGGUAAUGGCCUACCAAGGCGACGAUGGGUAGCCGGCCUGAGAGGGUGGCCGGCCACACUGGGACUGAGACACGGCCCAGACUCCUACGGGAGGCAGCAGUGGGGAAUUUUGCGCAAUGCUCGUAAGAGUGACGCAGCGACGCCGCGUGAAUGACGAAGGCCUUCGGGUCGUAAAGUUCUUUCGACAGGGAAGAAAAUGCCUAUAAGUAACUGUGUAUGUAUUGACGGUACCUGUAUAAGCAGCCCCGGCUAACUCCGUGCCAGCAGCCGCGGUAAUACGGAGGGGGCGAGCGUUGUUCGGAGCGACUGGGCGUAAAGAGCACGUAGGCGGUGUUGUAAGUCAUUAGUCAAAGACUAGAGCUCAACUUUAGUAGGGCUAGUGAUACUAUAAUACUAGAGUAUCAGAGAGGAUUACAGAAUUCCUGGUGUAGCGGUGAAAUGCGUAGAUAUCAGGAGGAAUACCGUUAGCGAAGGCGGCAAUCUGGCUGGAAACUGACGCU